UACUGGAAUUACACCUGGCUAAGCCUCUUCUAUUUAAAAAUAGAAAUAAAAGAAAAAAAAAACAGAUCAAAACCAAAAGUUAUAGUGAGAGUGGACAAGCCCUGGACAACAGCAGGCAUGAGGACUUACAGCCCACAUGCUCAGCCACCAGGUGCAAUCUCCAACAUGUGCGGGCUUUGGGAAAACACAAUCGGGCAAGUGAAGUUUGUUGCAGACAAGUUCUUCUUCCCCUCUGCCACAACCUCCUCCAAGGUUACAGGGAGAGCACCCUGUCUGUGAAGAAGCAGGUUCUCAUCUGAUACCAAAUCUGCUGGCACCUUGAUCUUGGACUUCCCAGACUCCAGGACUGAAGAUCACAGAUUGACAUCAGCAGGAAAACUUGCCAGGCAGCAGGAGGAUCCAUUUGAAAACUCACGAGAAAAAGGCCCUUGAGGCCUUUUUCCUGGUUAUUGAAGACAUCUUAGGAAACACUUAUGGUGACAAUUAAUCAAGCAAAAAUAGAUCCAGUUUUUCUGAAGAUCAAGCUUAACAUGUGUGCCAUGCUUUAAAAUGUCUUUCCAGGCACUCUCUCCUGCCCACGGAUCUUGCUUGGGAAAGGAAUGGGGCAAGUGGAAAUGGCCAUUUCUUAGAUGAACACAUCAGGGACUUGCUCCAGUCUGAAGUCUAUACAGAGCUAGGCUUUGAAUCCAGUCACGUAACUGCAUAGCAGCAAAUCAGCCUUUCAGAAUAUUGCAGGAUCAGCAAUGAAAUUCCCUUUGCCAGAGAAAUGGACAAACAAGGAAGCAACAAUGGUGAUGGUGGAAGUGUUCUUCAAGUCUAAGUUUGGGUUCUAGAAACAUCUGGCCAAAUAACGUCUUUCACAACUAAAAUAGAAUAUAAAGAAGCCAUUUGACCUGCCUCAGUUAUCAUGGUCAUCAUGACAAGCUGCAGCAGGACAAAUCAGCUUAACAAUUUCGGAAACUGCCAGAAAUGCUAUUUGGAUUAAUUUUUAUUUGGGAGUUGGCUAAAACUGGUCACAUCCCCAAAUACCUCAAGAUAAACAACAUAGCAUUAUCAUACAAAUCUAUAUUCACCAAAUUAGGUUAAAAUAGGCUGUUUUGAGAAGGUUGAAUUUUUUUAUGGGGAUUAUUCCCAAAAUACGUUUAGACACAAGAAGUUCAACUUUUCUUUUUUCCAUAUUUGAUGUCAAUCAAACUAAUUACUACAUGUUUGGAAUUGCAUUAAUUGUAUUCUUCAGUUACCUAUAAAAUUUAAUUAUCAUGUCUUUAUGGAAAUUUUAAUAUCAGAUAUAAAGAAUGGCAUAUUUAAAAUGACAUUUUAAUACUUUAUAAGAAGCAACAGAAAUUCGACUUCCAAAGCACCUCUCAGUACUACCAUUGGAGUACAUCUAUAUUUUUCUGUCAGAAUACUAUCCAAAGCAAGCAUAAGUAAUCCUUAUUUUCACGAUACAUUGAUGCUCAAAAGUUGUGUGUUCAGCAUGUCUACAAAGUAAAUUACCGUAUAUUUGAAACAGCAGACUAAAACUGAAGUAACAUCUGGAAAAAAUUGCCCUAAUUGCUAGCCCCUAAAUUCAUCUGACCUUGACACUCUCAUCUGAAUUUAAAAGUGUUUUAAAUUCUUAGCCAAUCAAUUCAAGCCAGAACUGAAUUCAUAUGUCUUCAGAAACUGCUAAUCUAGAACAAUGUAACUAGAAUAGAUUCCUGAUCAAACUUUGGUUUUGUUCAGGUAUCCACUCAUUUCCUAGGUGACCCAGAGGCCACAACUCACAACUCCACCCCUUCCCGUGGCUGGUCCAGGCUGUGCAGAUCUUGUAGUCACAAAGUCCUGGCAAUGGGCUGGGGGUGGGAUCUGACCUAGUGCUGACCAACAUGUCAAAAACAGAUGGCUGCAGAACCCUCUGGAAAAGCUUCCCUCAUUCUUAAGGAAUCCUGUGAAGAGAUGGUCUGUUUCUGUCCUGUUCCCUGGAUGUCAAAUGUCUGGGUUUGAGACCCAGAACUCCUGAAGCCAUCUCACAACUACAAGGGGAGCAGAUGUAGCCACUGAGGAUGGCCAAGCAGAGGGAGGGAGGACCUUUCCUGCCAGCAUCGCCAGCGGCUGAAUCACAGCCCAGAACCCCACAGCACCCUAAACGUCCUCUUAACAAAUGUAAUACGUUGUCUUACUGUUUGUGCCUGUGUGAAAAGUCCUCUUUGCUUGCAGUGAAGGCAUCCUAGUUGAUAAACAUGAAAUUUGAAAAUUGGAGAUUUCUUGGAACCAACA
rnacentral:lncRNA from 1 species